GUAGCUCAGUAGGUUCAACAUUGGGCUUUUAACCUAAUGGUCACAGGUUCAAGCCCUGCUAUACCA